GGGUUGUGAGGUUAAGCGACUAAGCGUACACGGUGGAUGCCCUGGCAGUCAGAGGCGAUGAAGGACGUGCUAAUCUGCGAUAAGCGUCGGUAAGGUGAUAUGAACCGUUAUAACCGGCGAUUUCCGAAUGGGGAAACCCAGUGUGUUUCGACACACUAUCAUUAACUGAAUCCAUAGGUUAAUGAGGCGAACCGGGGGAACUGAAACAUCUAAGUACCCCGAGGAAAAGAAAUCAACCGAGAUUCCCCCAGUAGCGGCGAGCGAACGGGGAGCAGCCCAGAGCCUGAAUCAGUGUGUGUGUUAGUGGAAGCGUCUGGAAAGGCGCGCGAUACAGGGUGACAGCCCCGUACACAAAAAUGCACAUGCUGUGAGCUCGAUGAGUAGGGCGGGACACGUGGUAUCCUGUCUGAAUAUGGGGGGACCAUCCUCCAAGGCUAAAUACUCCUGACUGACCGAUAGUGAACCAGUACCGUGAGGGAAAGGCGAAAAGAACCCCGGCGAGGGGAGUGAAAAAGAACCUGAAACCGUGUACGUACAAGCAGUGGGAGCACGCUUAGGCGUGUGACUGCGUACCUUUUGUAUAAUGGGUCAGCGACUUAUAUUCUGUAGCAAGGUUAACCGAAUAGGGGAGCCGAAGGGAAACCGAGUCUUAACUGGGCGUUAAGUUGCAGGGUAUAGACCCGAAACCCGGUGAUCUAGCCAUGGGCAGGUUGAAGGUUGGGUAACACUAACUGGAGGACCGAACCGACUAAUGUUGAAAAAUUAGCGGAUGACUUGUGGCUGGGGGUGAAAGGCCAAUCAAACCGGGAGAUAGCUGGUUCUCCCCGAAAGCUAUUUAGGUAGCGCCUCGUGAAUUCAUCUCCGGGGGUAGAGCACUGUUUCGGCAAGGGGGUCAUCCCGACUUACCAACCCGAUGCAAACUGCGAAUACCGGAGAAUGUUAUCACGGGAGACACACGGCGGGUGCUAACGUCCGUCGUGAAGAGGGAAACAACCCAGACCGCCAGCUAAGGUCCCAAAGUCAUGGUUAAGUGGGAAACGAUGUGGGAAGGCCCAGACAGCCAGGAUGUUGGCUUAGAAGCAGCCAUCAUUUAAAGAAAGCGUAAUAGCUCACUGGUCGAGUCGGCCUGCGCGGAAGAUGUAACGGGGCUAAACCAUGCACCGAAGCUGCGGCAGCGACGCUGAUGCGUUGUUGGGUAGGGGAGCGUUCUGUAAGCCUGCGAAGGUGUGCUGUGAGGCAUGCUGGAGGUAUCAGAAGUGCGAAUGCUGACAUAAGUAACGAUAAAGCGGGUGAAAAGCCCGCUCGCCGGAAGACCAAGGGUUCCUGUCCAACGUUAAUCGGGGCAGGGUGAGUCGACCCCUAAGGCGAGGCCGAAAGGCGUAGUCGAUGGGAAACAGGUUAAUAUUCCUGUACUUGGUGUUACUGCGAAGGGGGGACGGAGAAGGCUAUGUUGGCCGGGCGACGGUUGUCCCGGUUUAAGCGUGUAGGCUGGUUUUCCAGGCAAAUCCGGAAAAUCAAGGCUGAGGCGUGAUGACGAGGCACUACGGUGCUGAAGCAACAAAUGCCCUGCUUCCAGGAAAAGCCUCUAAGCAUCAGGUAACAUCAAAUCGUACCCCAAACCGACACAGGUGGUCAGGUAGAGAAUACCAAGGCGCUUGAGAGAACUCGGGUGAAGGAACUAGGCAAAAUGGUGCCGUAACUUCGGGAGAAGGCACGCUGAUAUGUAGGUGAAGUCCCUCGCGGAUGGAGCUGAAAUCAGUCGAAGAUACCAGCUGGCUGCAACUGUUUAUUAAAAACACAGCACUGUGCAAACACGAAAGUGGACGUAUACGGUGUGACGCCUGCCCGGUGCCGGAAGGUUAAUUGAUGGGGUCAGCGCAAGCGAAGCUCUUGAUCGAAGCCCCGGUAAACGGCGGCCGUAACUAUAACGGUCCUAAGGUAGCGAAAUUCCUUGUCGGGUAAGUUCCGACCUGCACGAAUGGCGUAAUGAUGGCCAGGCUGUCUCCACCCGAGACUCAGUGAAAUUGAACUCGCUGUGAAGAUGCAGUGUACCCGCGGCAAGACGGAAAGACCCCGUGAACCUUUACUAUAGCUUGACACUGAACAUUGAGCCUUGAUGUGUAGGAUAGGUGGGAGGCUUUGAAGUGUGGACGCCAGUCUGCAUGGAGCCGACCUUGAAAUACCACCCUUUAAUGUUUGAUGUUCUAACGUUGACCCGUAAUCCGGGUUGCGGACAGUGUCUGGUGGGUAGUUUGACUGGGGCGGUCUCCUCCUAAAGAGUAACGGAGGAGCACGAAGGUUGGCUAAUCCUGGUCGGACAUCAGGAGGUUAGUGCAAUGGCAUAAGCCAGCUUGACUGCGAGCGUGACGGCGCGAGCAGGUGCGAAAGCAGGUCAUAGUGAUCCGGUGGUUCUGAAUGGAAGGGCCAUCGCUCAACGGAUAAAAGGUACUCCGGGGAUAACAGGCUGAUACCGCCCAAGAGUUCAUAUCGACGGCGGUGUUUGGCACCUCGAUGUCGGCUCAUCACAUCCUGGGGCUGAAGUAGGUCCCAAGGGUAUGGCUGUUCGCCAUUUAAAGUGGUACGCGAGCUGGGUUUAGAACGUCGUGAGACAGUUCGGUCCCUAUCUGCCGUGGGCGCUGGAGAACUGAGGGGGGCUGCUCCUAGUACGAGAGGACCGGAGUGGACGCAUCACUGGUGUUCGGGUUGUCAUGCCAAUGGCACUGCCCGGUAGCUAAAUGCGGAAGAGAUAAGUGCUGAAAGCAUCUAAGCACGAAACUUGCCCCGAGAUGAGUUCUCCCUGACCCUUUAAGGGUCCUGAAGGAACGUUGAAGACGACGACGUUGAUAGGCCGGAUGUGUAAGCGCAGCGAUGCGUUGAGCUAACCGGUACUAAUGAACCGUGAGGCUUAACCUUACAACGCCGAAGCUGUU
rnacentral:rRNA from 1 species